UACGUAGGGUGCAAGCGUUGUUCGGAAUUACUGGGCGUAAAGGCUCGUAGGCGGCCAACUAAGUCCGACGUGAAAUCCCCAGGCUUAACCUGGGAACUGCGUCGGAUACUGGAUGGCUUGAAUUCGGGGAGGGAUGCAGAAUUCCAGGUGUAGCGGUGAAAUGCGUAGAUAUCUGGAGGAAUACCGGUGGCGAAGGCGGCAUCCUGGACCGACAUUGACGCUGAUGAGCGAAAGCUAGGGAGCAAACGGG
rnacentral:rRNA from 1 species